rnacentral:rRNA from 1 species
UUUGAAUGGAGAGUUCGAUCCUGGCUCAGGAUGAACGCUGGCGGCGCGCCUAACACAUGCAAGUCGAACGAUUAAAGCACCUUCGGGUGUGUAUAAAGUGGCGAACGGCUGAGUAACACGUGGGCAACCUGCCCCUCUCAUUGGGAUAGCCACGGGAAACCGUGGAUAAUACCGAAUACUUCGAGACUUCCGCAUGGAAGACUCGAGAAAGCUCCGGCGGAGAGGGAUGGGCCCGCGGCCUGUUAGCUUGUUGGUGGGGUAACGGCCUACCAAGGCAAUGAUGGGUAGCUGGGUUGAGAGACCGACCAGCCAGAUUGGGACUGAGACACGGCCCAGACUCCUACGGGAGGCAGCAGUGGGGAAUCUUGCAC